AACGAACGCUGGCGGCAUGCCUAACACAUGCAAGUCGAACGAGACCUUCGGGUCUAGUGGCGCACGGGUGCGUAACGCGUGGGAACCUGCCCUUAGGUUCGGAAUAACUCCCCGAAAGGGGUGCUAAUACCGGAUAAUGUCUUCGGACCAAAGAUUUAUCGCCUUUGGAUGGGCCCGCGUUUGAUUAGAUAGUUGGUAGGGUAAAAGCCUACCAAGGCGACGAUCCAUAGCUGGUCUGAGAGGAUGAUCAGCCACACUGGGACUGAGACACGGCCCAGACUCCUACGGGAGGCAGCAGUGGGGAAUAUUGGAAAAUGGGCGAAAGCCUGAAACAGCAAUGACGCGUGAGUGAUGAAGGCGUUAGGGUUGUAAAGCUCUUUUAACCGGGAUGAUAAUGACAGUACCGGGAGAAUAAGCACCGGCUAACUCCGUG
rnacentral:rRNA from 1 species